rnacentral:misc_RNA from 1 species
AAGUCGUAACAAGGUUUCCGUAGGUGAACCUGCGGAAGGAUCAUUGACAAAUCUAAACCGUUGCGUGGCAGUAGUGUGUUGGCCUAACCGUUAACAUACGCCGUCACGUCAACAAAUCUUAACCUGUGAAUCGCAGCACGCAAGUGUUGUUGUGUAAGUGAAUGUGUAUUGAAACAAGUAAUUGUAUCUCUGCACACCUCCACACACAUAAAAUUAACGUAACAAAUGUCUUGAAAUACAAAACUAAAAAAUACAACUUUUAGCAAUGGAUCUCUUGGCUUCU